UUUGGGGUUGCCGGAGUUUCAUGAUGAACGGAAUUGUUUGCCCAACAGACCGGUGCAACGCUCUCCGGGACAGUGUAAGGCCUUUUUGUCUAAAAAAAUUCAUUGUAGUGCUUUCAGGUGUCAUAAAUUUGUUCCUGUUUUGCCACCUCCUCCGCCACUUUCACCGCCCUUGCCUGCCCCUCCGCCACCUGUUUAUUCGCCUCCGCCACCAGUUUAUACUCCUCCUUCUCCUUCCCCACCACCUCCUCCACCUCCAGUUUAUUCACCACCGCCACCACCACCCUCUCCACCUCCUCCAUCACCUCCCCCGCCUCCACCACCAGUCUAUUCACCUCCACCCCCACCUCCAUCUCCUCCUCCACCAUCACCUCCACCACCACCCCCGCCAUCUCCACCUCCACCACCAGUUUAUUCAUCACCACCACCGCCACCAUCUCCCCCUCCACCAUCACCUCCACCUCCUCCCCCACCCGUUUAUUCGCCACCACCAUCUCCACCUCCUCCAUCACCAUUGCCUUAUUGUAUACGCUCACCUCCACCACCAAAUUCCCCACCUCCUAAUUCUCCACCUCCACCGCUUGCUCACUCGCCUCCACCCCCUUCACCUUACUAUUACAAUUCACCACCACCUCCGCCCCCAAAUUCGCCUCCUCCUCCACCAGUAUACAUAUACUCAUCACCUCCGCCACCAAAUUCACCUCCUCCUCCACCGCCAACAUACGUAUAUUCUUCACCUCCUCCACCUCCUUCCCCAUUGCCUUGUAUAGAACCCCCUCCACCACCUCCUCCUUGCAUUGAACCACCCCCACCCCCCUCCCCUUCACCAUCUCCUCCUCCACCACCGGUUUAUCAUUACAAUUCUCCGCCCCCACCAUCUCCAUCACCUCCACCACCAGUUUAUUAUCAUUACAAUUCUCCGCCCCCACCAUCUCCAUCACCUCCACCACCAGUUUAUUAUUACAAUUCUCCACCACCACCAUCACCACCGCCUACUCCAGUAUACGAAGGGCCAUUACCACCAGUAAUAGGAGUUCAAUAUGCUUCACCACCUCCACCACCCUUUUAUUAAUUCUUUCAGAAAUUUCACUAACUCUUAUCCUCAGAGCACAAAAUAGUUCCUACAAUUAUUAUUUC
rnacentral:lncRNA from 1 species